AGAAUGUUUCAAGACUGGGAGAGAACAACAUCCCAAGUGGGGCAGAAUUUUAAUUUUUCUCUCUUGAAAUGUUUCCAACCUUGGAACUGCAUUCAUGGAUGGGAAGAGCUGAUGGAAGCCAAGUGGGAGAGAAAGUACAAAGGAAGAUUUCCAGAGAUAAAGAGAACAACUCCUCAGUGAGCCGGCUUGGAGAGAACAAGUGGAGGGAGGCACGUCUUCAGCCUGUCGUUAGCAGAUGUUUACUAACUCACUGUGGUACUGGAGCCAGCUGGGGCUAACUGAGGAACAUUUUCCAUCCCAGAUCCUUUGUGGUGAAAAAGAAUAAAGUAGAAAAUGAAUGGC
rnacentral:lncRNA from 1 species